UAAGUUUACAACAAUCAGAAUAUAGGAAGAAUUUCAAUAACGCAUCUGUCGUUUGGGUGUGAAUCUGCGUCCCAAAAGCGCUCGUCAGACGAUGUAAACACGUGUAGCUGGUAUUCCCGAUGAUGGCGAUCUUUUGAUGAUUUAUCAGAGUAAUUUGAAAAGUGUCACACUGAUUUGAAAAAAAAGGCUGGAAAAAAAUCUGGUACCUGCUUUGUCUUGAGAUUUACAUAAAUGAUGUUCUUAUUGGUGAUCAUUUACCCGCACCCUUAUCCUGGUGUCAUAUACAAGAUGAAAUGAUGGAAAGAAAAACCUGAACUUUAGGAACAGGAAGACUGUGUUUUUGAAGAGAGAAGAGGACCAGAACUAAGACGUCAUACAAUAAACACAUUGACAUCAUAAAAAGAAAUUGCAAUUUUGAGUUUGCAUGCAUAUGUCAGGUUUAAAUGUUGUCACAGAAUUUUUUUUCAGAAAGUCCCUUUAUCUUCUUGAAUUAAUAAAACAAAUGAACCAAAUAUAAUUGUUUCUAUAUAUAUAAUUUUGUUUGAGAAGUGGAAAGGGGAUGGUAUGUAAAUGGGUGGGAGAGAGAGUCUCUCACAUAGGAGAAUUCAGACUUAUUUAAAUUCAAUAUAUUGAUAUGAACCAAAAAUGGUUUUUGAUCGCCUUGUUGCAGGAUUUACACACUCUCUUUCCUUUCUCGGUAAUGAGAAAUGAGCGUUUAGAAUUUAU